rnacentral:tRNA from 1 species
GCCUGGUUGGCUCAGUGGAUAGAGUGUCAGCCUGCACACUGAAGAGUCCCGGAUUCGAUUCCCGGUCAGGGCA